rnacentral:rRNA from 1 species
CCUACGGGGGGCAGCAGUCGAGAAUCAUUCACAAUGGGGGAAACUCUGAUGGUGCGACGCCGCGUGGGGGAAUGAAGGUCUUCGGAUUGUAAACCCCUGUCAUGUGGGAGCAAAUUAAAAAGAUAGUACCACAAGAGGAAGAGACGGCUAACUCUGUGCCAGCAGCCGCGGUAAUACAGAGGUCUCAAGCGUUGUUCGGAAUCACUGGGCGUAAAGCGUGCGUAGGCGGUUUGGUAAGUCGUGUGUGAAAGGCGCGGGCUCAACCCGCGGACGGCACAUGAUACUGCGAGACUAGAGUAAUGGAGGGGGAGCCGGAAUUCUCGGUGUAGCAGUGAAAUGCGUAGAUAUCGAGAAGAACACUCGUGGCGAAGGCGGGUUCCUAGACAUUAACUGACACUGAGGCACGAAGGUCAGGGGAGCGAAAGGGAUUAGAUACCCGAGUAGUC